UCCCUAUCCAUUUCUACAUCGACAUAUGCAACAGAAACAAAUUAACAAAGUUACUUGCGGCUGCUGCUCAUGAGAUCUGAUUUCCCUCUACCUCUCUAGCUAGCUAGGUUAAAGCAUCUCCAGGACUCGUAUGCAGCUACUGAAAAUCUAAAUACGAAGGUUCUUACUUCUUUGGUUCAAACAAGUACUGGUAAAUAUUUCAAUAAAUCAUUAUAAGAUGUUCUCAUUCAAAAUAAAACAUAUAGACAGAUGACUGCAUAUAUAUAUAUAGGAAGAAUUUUAUUCAGAUUACCUACAGAGAGCUUACCUGACUGUUGAAGGAACUAGUAAUAUGUGUUUUCUGGGCAGGCGUUUUUUCAAUCCGUGUUGGUGUGUCCUUUCUACAUAAAUUUACUCUCUAGUCUUCUAGCAGUUUUCUUGUUUCGGCAUCUCAACAUUUAUCUAGUAGCAGAUGAACAGUGUAGUAGUUGUGGAUCUUGAUCCAGGAGAACUUCAAUUUAUAGAACCACAGAACACAUUUGACUGAUUGACUCACCAUAUUUUUAUAGAUGAACUAAAAUAUAUAACUACAUGGAGGUGCAUUCAAGCUAGAUUUGUGUGCUGCGUCUGAAGUUGUUUCUUUGUUCCCUGCUUGUUUUGUUUUGAUUGGUAACAUAAACUGCAAAGUUCAGUUUGUUUGUGUACUUGUCAAAACAAAAACACUCAAUAAACACAUUAGUCUGUUGGGGUGUUUUCCAAUCUUCCUUCACUGUGAAGUUUCUUAGUUGAUUAAUUUAAUAUAUUUUUGUCCACCAUGUGCACUUCAUUUCAGGGUUUCAGUAGCCUAAUGUUGUUGGAUAUUUGGAAUUACGUCACCCCCUGCUGUUUUUCAUUUGUUGAGUGGUGCCCACUUGUUUAGAGGAAAUCCAAGAGCCAAUAUGAAAACUUUUACACGGCUUAUCAAGAACAAGAUAAAAUCAUUCUCAGCCAUGAUCGGUUCUGCAUGCUGCGGCUGCCCGCUUUUUAGUUAACACUUGUGAUUAUAUCUUCUAUAUCUACUGAUUCUAUACGUACAAAUGACCGACCUAGAAAAGCAAAUCAAAAUUAUAGGUGCUAAUAAGAUCAUGCGUUCUUUCUUUAUAGCAUACUGGAAAUCACCAACUUUGGCUAUUUCAAGUACAAUCCACUUUUGGUAGGCAACUUCCCAUUCAUAUUCCAGAUCUCACGUGCCACCACAAGGUCCACCGUAUGGGUGCUGUUGACGUGUGCUGCCAUGUGGAAUAUGUGUACCCUUUUUAAGUUCUAGUUCAUUUGUGUACUUUUCACUUUUUAUUUGCUGCAGACUUGCAGGAGCCCGCAAACUCAGAGACGGCGCCUAAUUUGUCUACAUUUAGUGGUCAUCAUCAUCGUAAAGGGUAUUUAUGUCAUUUAAUUGUAUAAUAUCUUCUUAGGUAGGUGAAAUCAGGAGGACGGUGAUCGGGGCUUUACAAUAUGCAUAUAGGAGACUGUGUCCAAUGAGGGAAUGGUAACCUAAUUUAGGAAAUUUUGAGUCUUAAGGCAUAGAAAAUUUCCUUAAACCCACCCGAUCCAGAAAAUAUCCUUUUUAUUUCGACUAAUAACUUUUUUUUUAAAACAAUUUGAAGCAAUGAAAAAUCAAAGAAGACGCAAUAAGCUCGGAAUAUGCACGUAAAGGCGGGUACCAACCGGCGGGUAUUAAUUGGGUGAUCCAACUAUCAAGAUCGACUAUAAUUUUUUUGAUAUUUAGACUGUUUAGAAACUUGGUGGUGUACACUGUACUCUGUACGAUUUGAUCAGCGUUGAAACUGGAAAUAUAAAACUUCAAAGUCCGGAUUAAAGUGGAACUUUGAAUUCUGGUAGUAAUCAAAAGGUAUUUGACGACCUAAGCCGCUUGAAGUCACGGUACGGUCGGUCAGAGUAUAAGUCGAGGUGGUAAACCCCAAGCCAGUCGGUGGAGGACAAUUUAUUGAAUUUAGCUGAUACACAAAGGGCAUUCAGUAUCUAAGCCGAAUGGUUGCAGGGUCCGCUGCAUCUUUCCUUCUUGGCAUAGCAAAGAGGUGAUUAUGGUAUCCGUUGAAUGAGAUUUGAUUUACCAUCAUUAGCAGUUAGACGUAUCAAUCUAAUCAAUCCCCAAAGUAAAACUUGACUUGCUCAUAUUUCACUUUUUUUUUUUUUUUUUUUUUGGUGAGGAUAGUCAACUUGUUGGAAAUGAAUUCUUAGAUGGGACACUACUACCAUAAUUUAUAAAGGGAUAUCAAAUUUUAAGAGGUGUCGUUUCAUAUGAAACAAAAUAAUCCUAAAUACUGGAUCUCUUGACUGGUUUGAUAUCGCCUUGAUACAUUUGUGACUUCUACUGGUAACAA